UAAUAAAAUAAGUUCUAGAUCAGGCUGAG
rnacentral:piRNA from 1 species